GCCCUGUCUCAUUCUUCUUUCCUGAUUUUCAGGGUAGUAAAGUGUUACACAACGCUAAAAUAGUAUGAAACCAUGUUAGAAUGUUAGCUAACUACUCUGGCCAAGUAGUUUUGUGAUAAGAAGGUGGUUUUGUCUAUGUUUGAUAUCCUGAAACGGAAAUGCUAAUUCUAAACGAUUGGAGCUAGCAAAGGACGUUGAUGUAUUCACUUUAAUAGUACAGAUUGCUAUCGUGGCGCACACGUGUUCUCCCACUUUGUUCAUGAAUAUGAAUAUGUGCCUUGUUAAUUUUAGCGCGGCUCGCGCAUGAAGCCUUUUGUUAAAGCUACAUUGUGUACUUUUUUAAGUUAAUUCUUAGCAAAAACCCAUUUGUUCUUUCAAAAAUAUGUGCUCAUUCAUGUGUAAUUAUUUCCACCUACUAAUCAAAGUAUUCUCGUAAGUGUAGAAUCUGCUAUUCCCAAUACAUACGCGCGGGUGGCUGAAUCCAUGUUGCGCCUCCAUCUUUGAAAUACAUUCGCCAACGAGGGACAUUCCUGGAAAUUCAGCUCCGCCUUUCGCGCUUGUAGACAACACUCAUUGCCUGAUUAGUCUACUAGCGACAGCCGGCAGAUUUGAAAGUCUGUUGGAGGAUUACACCUAUUCUCAAGGACAUGAAAAGGAGUCGCCAAGGAAGCGAAAAAGAGAAUUAAAACAACAUCGCGACCGGAAAAACAACAGACCAAAGUCAAUAUUGGAGUGGCUUUUCUAAGAUGGAAAGAGCUCGUGAGGAGCAAGGAUUUUAAAAGGGACGCCGAAGUUGCCUGCUUUCUUCUCGACAGAGAGAACUGAGAGCAGUUACAUCAACACCAAUGAAGGGAAAGCUCUCUAGUAUUAACUACUCCAGAAGUGUCCUGCAUUUCUAGUGGGACAGACAGAUGAGCAUCUUGGCGCAAUUGCAGAAGCCCCUGAAAUUGAGAACCUUGAACAGAGGAUCAGCUUUCCAGGAGACUGCACAUGUAGAAUGAUGGCCCAUGUUGCUUCAAAGGCACCAUACAAAAAGGACGGGUUCAUGUGUAAAUACCAUAAUUUGUUAAUUUCUGUAAAUAAAUAUAUUGCAAACAA